rnacentral:rRNA from 1 species
GACGAACGCUGGCGGCGUGCCUAAUACAUGCAAGUAGAACGCUGAAGGAGGAGCUUGCUUCUCUGGAUGAGUUGCGAACGGGUGAGUAACGCGUAGGUAACCUGCCUGGUAGCGGGGGAUAACUAUUGGAAACGAUAGCUAAUACCGCAUAAGAGUAGAUGUCGCAUGACAUUUGCUUAAAAGGUGCAAUUGCAUCACUACCAGAUGGACCUGCGUUGUAUUAGCUAGUUGGUGAGGUAACGGCUCACCAAGGCAACGAUACAUAGCCGACCUGAGAGGGGGAUCGGCCACACUGGGACUGAGACACGGCCCAGACUCCUACGGGAGGCAGCAGUAGGGAAUCUUCAGCAAUGGACGGAAGUCUGACCGAGCAACGCCGCGGGAGUGAAGAAGGUUUUCGGAUCGUAAAGCUCUGUUGUAAGAGAAGAACGAGUGUGAGAGUGGAAAGUUCACACUGUGACGGUAUCUUACCAGAAAGGGACGGCUAACUACGUG